CACAGGCAGACAGGCACUAGUAGACAGCAAGCUUCGAAUUCGAUCUCUAUACGCCUGCAAGCAGGUAUGCGAGCUGGUAGUCAAGCGAAACCUCCGUAUAUGAUAGAGAGUUGACAGAGAUCUUGCAGGUAGGCAGCCAGAAGUAGGCGGAGAUAUCUAGAUUCAUGCUAUCCAUACAUUAGCACAUCACCUUAGAGAGGAUGGUUCAACAUGAACCAUUAUUUCACUAUGUCUUAACAUGUAUCGCCUGGAACUUUGGGCUAGCACGAAGAUGGAAAGAAGUGCAAUAUGGCGGAUAAAAAAGCUUCGAGAAGGAAUUCAACAUCACAGGUCACGGGAG
rnacentral:sRNA from 1 species